AUUACUACACAGUCCCCUUCUUUUCGGGGUUUAAUUUCACAGUGACCGUCUUCUUAUCUCGAGUCUCUCUCUCUCUCUCCAUCCCUCCUCCCUCUCCCUACUCGCUUUCGCCGCCGGUGCUUCUUCUCCGCAGCCAAUAUGCAGCGGCGGCAGGAAGAACAACAAGGCGAUACACCUGGAGGUAUGUUGGGGAAUGUUCAACAAGCUCACAAUCGGAGUCAGGCUUCAGAGAAUCAAAUGGGGCCAAAGAGGAGGAAGCAUUCAGAGUCGUGUUCAGGUCUUCCUGACAUUUCUGAAAUUGAGCGCCUAAUAAAGAAAAGAGAGUACAGUAGCGAUGAAGUUGAUCGCUUAGUUGAGCUAGCUUAUCGUAUCACUAGAGAAAGAAGAUAUAGACAGCAGCGAUCCUGUUGAGGGAAUUGACCGUGACACAAUUGACAAAGUAGCCAAACUUUUGAUUUCUGAAAGUAUUAACAAUGUUGGGAGCCGGGAUGGACCCAAAGAUUGAUCCUGCACGUAAUAAACCUGGACUUGUUCUCAAAAGCUUGCUAGAGGUGGUCAAGCUCCGCUUCUUAUCCUGCGCGAUUGAGGAAGCGAAGGCUGAAAGGAUGCGGAGAAGAGAUUCUUGUGAGUCAGAGAAUGAAACAAUGGCAAUAGAGACGGAGCAGAAGCUUGAAAUAAAAGAUGACUAGGGAGAUGGUUGUCUUUCAGCUCGAGAUUGGUAUACUGGAGGAUUGCCGGAUCUGGAAUCGGAAGACGAAGAUGCAAAUCUGAUACGGUCAUUUUCUUCCAGAUUUGCAUGUAAAGAUUGGUAUACCCGAGGUCGUCUGCUGUUGGUGCGUAUAGUGGUGAAUUGAUUCCCUGACAUGGGCGCUAGGCUAUUCAUUUGGGAGUUGGAUCAAGAAAGGGGUGGAGAACUCUGUCGUAGGAGGACUUAUAGUAUACACUACACCAAGUAAUACUUGGUAUAGGGACUGGGAUGUCGUGAAUAGGUAUCGACCCUAAUGAUUUGGAUAUAUGUUAUGUACUUGUAUAUCAUCAUGAGGAACUAGAAGGCGAAGCAAGUACAACCUUCACACGGGACAACGGUCCAAGAUAAAUAGAGUUUGAUGGGGUACGUAUUACGAGUUAUGCUCCCGAUGUUACUUGGGAAGUGCGUGCUUCAAAUUCCACUUCAUCCAGCGAAUCUAGAGAGAAACCAUCGCACGAGAAAUUAUUCAUCAUGCUUUUGGAAACAUCAAACACCUUAAAAUGCCUGAAGUUCAUAGCUAACUAAAAUAGUAACUCAAUCGUAGCCACAUUUUACUUUUGAGGAAUACUAGGAGUCCAAUCUCCUAUUACAUUGGAGGGUAUUGGACCUUGAUUCAAACCCAAUUUCUUAGUCUCCCUCUCCACUUGGCUUUCAGAUAUUCUUUAGUUUGUACUGAUUGUACAGCAAAAUAGAAAACAUGAAUCGAAUAUCAACUAAGCGGAGAUGUCUCAAUUCCGAAUAUCAACUAAGCAGAGAUGUCUCAAUUCGUCAUCAGAUUACUCUUCAUAGACUUCGGAGGAAAUGAAAGCAAAAAAUAAAUAUGAAC